rnacentral:tRNA from 1 species
GGUUCUCUAGUGUAGCGGUUAGCCCAUCCGCUUUACACGCAGAAGGUCCUGGGUUCAUGCCCCAGUGGCGCCA